rnacentral:rRNA from 1 species
GCACAGAGAGCUUGGCUCUCGGGUGACGAGCGGCGGACGGGUGAGUAAUGUCUGGGAAACUGCCUGAUGGAGGGGGAUAACUACUGGAAACGGUAGCUAAUACCGCAUAAUGUCGCAAGACCAAAGUGGGGGACCUUCGGGCCUCAUGCCAUCAGAUGUGCCCAGAUGGGAUUAGCUAGUAGGUGGGGUAACGGCUCACCUAGGCGACGAUCCCUAGCUGGUCUGAGAGGAUGACCAGCCACACUGGAACUGAGACACGGUCCAGACUCCUACGGGAGGCAGCAGUGGGGAAUAUUGCACAAUGGGCGCAAGCCUGAUGCAGCCAUGCCGCGUGUGUGAAGAAGGCCUUCGGGUUGUAAAGCACUUUCAGCGGGGAGGAAGGCGAUAAGGUUAAUAACCUUGGCGAUUGACGUUACCCGCAGAAGAAGCACCGGCUAACUCCGUGCCAGCAGCCGCGGUAAUACGGAGGGUGCAAGCGUUAAUCGGAAUUACUGGGCGUAAAGCGCACGCAGGCGGUCUGUCAAGUCGGAUGUGAAAUCCCCGGGCUCAACCUGGGAACUGCAUUCGAAACUGGCAGGCUAGAGUCUUGUAGAGGGGGGUAGAAUUCCAGGUGUAGCGGUGAAAUGCGUAGAGAUCUGGAGGAAUACCGGUGGCGAAGGCGGCCCCCUGGACAAAGACUGACGCUC